CAGUCGCCGCGGUAAUACGUAGGGUGCGAGCGUUAAUCGGAAUUACUGGGCGUAAAGCGUGCGCAGGCGGUUAUAUAAGACAGAUGUGAAAUCCCCGGGCUCAACCUGGGACCUGCAUUUGUGACUGUAUAGCUAGAGUACGGUAGAGGGGGAUGGAAUUCCGCGUGUAGCAGUGAAAUGCGUAGAUAUGCGGAGGAACACCGAUGGCGAAGGCAAUCCCCUGGACCUGUACUGACGCUCAUGCACGAAAGCGUGGGGAGCAAACAGGAUUAGAUACCCGCGUAGUCCCUGUCUCUUAUAC
rnacentral:rRNA from 1 species